UGGCUACCUGUGAUCAGAUCAGGAUGGAUGGAAAUGUGAACGUCCUCAAACUCUGACUGCAUCCGUACCUUCACAUCCUGAUUUCUCUCCAGACCAGACGCCUGCACGCGUCAUUCACAUCGACAGCUACAGGAGACAAGACUUCAGACCUGCUCCCUGCGAACGGGAACACGGUCGUCUGCCAUCGAGCUAAGAGGAGAAAAGUACAGCACCGUUGGAAUCAGCUGUGGUCCUGUGAUGAAUGAAGCCUGGGAGGAUCUUAUCUGGAGGGAUCAUAGCAUCAAUUUGCACCACUAGCAAAAAAGAGUAGGAAAAAAGAAGCUCUGAAACAAGACAGCGCACAAACACGCAGCCUUUAGCCCGUCUUUAGCUUUCAUCCACAAUAAAUACCUCAGGAGAAUUCUUCACUUAUCUCACAGCCGUGUGUAUGUAAAAUGAAGAUAGAGGCUAGAAAUUCCAUUCCAGUCCAGAGAAUGCAGCCGUAAAGGACAGCGGCGUCGCAUUAGAGGGUGAUCAAAGUCAAAAGGCAUUUCUAUGAACACACUCUCGGCCUCCCUGGUGGAUAGGCCUAUCAGCCGGCGGAGAAACAUGACCAAAAACUGACAUAAACAGCAGAUACGCGGCGGCCAGCACUGGGAAUGUGGCGCAUUCACGAAUCCCAACUUUUUAUUGACAUAACCACAGACUGACCGGGGGCGAGCAGCAUGACGCGGCGGCGGAGCGGGGCCUCACCCAUCACCUCAUCCAUACGCCUGCUAUCUGGACGUACUGAGAGACGCAAAUUACUCCAUGUGCUAAACCAUCUCUCUGGCUUUUUCUUUUCUUUUUUUUUACUUAAGGGUGAAAGAUUGAUCUGACUUCAUACGGUGCACUCAGAGUUUAAGGCUGAGGAAAAUAUGCUAAAUGGACAAAUAUUAAUAUAAGAAACAGUCAUUUCAUUAUUUGAGGUUUGAAUUAUUUUAUUUCACUUCAGUUUUUCUUGUUGUUACACGUCCCUGAUGCCAACACAAAAUAUAAUAAAAAUUACAAUAAAUAAUUCCUGUCGUUUUCGUCCUUGAACUGAACCUGGAACCGUUAAUUAUAUAGAGAGAAAUCACAUAAAUCUGUUUUAUUUAUUUAUGCAAACCGCAUUUUUAUGGCUUAAAAGACUUGAAAGAACUUCCUAGAAAAAUCCUUUUAUUAAAUGUGACUGUGGAACCUACUGAAAUAUAAAGUACGGGGAGAAAUAAAAAAAUAUUACAAUAUAAAAGAAUAAAAUAAAAAAUAACAAAAAACAGCAAUGCAUAAAACAUCAUAAUAAUGAAAUCAACUAUGCAAUAAAUACAUUUUAUAAAUACAAAUAAAGGAAACUCACUACAGAUUUAUUUUACACACAAAACCAGUUACGUUCUAAAAUAAUCGUAAGGUUCUUACACAAAUCUGGUUUAUUGACAUUUGGUAAUAAAAUAAUAAUAAAGCUAAGAUCUAUGCACACAUGAUACAUACCUUAUGAAAAUAGUACCGUUAAUAAUUAAUGAUAAAUACACACCAGACUUUAACACAGUCUCCAUUUUACAAACGGGCUCCUUAUAUGUUCAGACCUUCCUCUUAGUCAUAUUUGCUGCAUAUAACACUUAUUAAAAAAAAAACAUGUGCUUCACAAAGAGAAAAAAUAAUAAAAUGAAGUUUUAUCACUUGUAUUUGUUCUUAUGGAGUAGAAUUCUAAUUAUUGAAUGAAAUGUGAAUUUAUAUUCCACGUAUUCACUUAAAUUCUUAUUAAAAACAGUAAUAACUAUAGUUUGUCUGUGAUAAAGUGGAAUAAAUGGAUUGUGGGAGCGGCGCCUGGACUGCGCUUCAUCAUUUUUCCUAUGAAAGAUUCACUGUAUUUUUAUUUUCUUACUGAAUCAUUGCAGCACAUUUGUUAUUUAAUUAACUAUUAUUA